GCACGCGGCGGUGAUGUUCCUCGCUCUGCGCAGCAAAUCCGCCGAGCUUUGUUAUGGUUAGUCCUCGAGGCAACAGAGCGCAUGCGCCAGGACACUCGUAACUAGCAUUCAAAUCUACAAAGCCUCGAGGUGCAGGCGAGCAGUCGAUUCUUGGAGCCUGCCUCGGGAACAGCCUAUUCUGGCUCCCAGCGGCCCCUGCGCUCCUCGUACGCGUCAUGAGGAGUCGAAAACAACGCACGCGUAGGUCUGCAGCGACUGCACCAGUUGCUCGAGCUCUUCCCACUGCAGGAGCUCAGAACUGACAAGAACCCUGACCAAAGCGGCGACUUCAGCAAUCCCACGUCGUACCGCAGCAGAAAUGGGGCACUGCCGUACGUCAGCGAUCUCUGACUCAAGCACAGGGGCUGCAUGAAGGACACACACUGCAGCCUCCCUGUUUCUGUGGGGUUUGGGAUUGAUGUUUGAGCCAAAAGGCCUCAUGGUGCCAUGCAGGCCGGUGCUGGGUUCACCCACUGAGGACGCCAAAUCCUAAAAUAAUGUCACAGCGGUCUUUAAUUGCUGUGCGAGGAGAUGACACGCGUUUCUCCCUGGGGGGCUGUAAGCUGACCCCACAGUGUGGCAGACAGCACCAAAAAGGGAUGCCAUCCUGUACUUUCCUACCCUAGUAACUCCUGGUUCUGCUGGUACACCUCUUGUACCUGGAGCUGGCUCUCCAUCUGGCUGAGACGUCAUCUUUAACACUUCAAAACAAGCCUAAGGAGAAAAGAUUUUGGUGAUGUGACACGAAAAUAGACAGCACAAAUAUAGACCAGGAUAACAGAAGAUGUACACGCUGGGUGCUGAGUAUCAUUUGGAAACCAAACCCCAGUCCAGGAAAUUUUUCACAGCUGAGCCAUUGUGUUUUCUUCAGAAGUUAGAAAUAAGAUUGGCAGAUUCGUGUCCGUAUUCACCCACGCAGCAAAGUACUGGAAGAACUGCAUUAUUUCAUCCCACUCUUCAUGCAUGUUCAAAAUAGUUGAUGAGUGAAGGAAUGCUGGCUGGUUUUAUGUUAAGAAAAAAGCCUCCACAAGUUCACAUUCAGUACAGUGGUGAGGCACUGAAAGGAAUCACCCAGAGAGGUGGUGGAUGGAUCACCUGUCCUUGGAGGCAAUCAAGAUCAGGCUGGCCCAGGCUCUGAGCAACUUGUUCAUAUUCAUUUCAAGGGAGUUGGAUUAGAUGACUUUCUAACUCAGAAGAUUCUGUAAUUUUAUGAUAAUACUAAACUCAAGUAAUAUGGAAGGACAGAACCUGCCUGUACAAAUCUAUCCUACACUGACCUAAGCAGAAGCAUUAGAGGUCAUAUAAAUGUUCCUUGUCUUAGUUACUGAAUCUGGUUUCUAUAAUCUGAAGACACAAUGAAGGUAAGGCUGCUUACACACUAUUUUCAGUUGUUUUUCAGGACAAUAGAUUUAAUGACAUAAAAAUGAAUUAACUGACUCUCCUCUUCUGACACUCUAUUAAUUGAAGAUACUUGAACUGGAAAAGCAGUACAUACAAGAUUUAUUGUUCCGAUGGAAUCUUAGUCCUGCUGCCUUUUAUAUCCAUUCUGAUAUCACUGAAUCAACCUGAAGUCCUGUGGAUAAAAGAAGGAAUUAUUUUAGAUUUUCCCGAGGCUCAGCCUUCAUCGCAAUAUAAGAUAUCCAGUUGUAUCACCACCAUCCCUGCAACUCUCUUCCUACUCUCAAGUUUACUGGAUUUCUUGUUAUUUAUUGAUUUCCAACUUCCAAGGUCUGCGUAAGAUACCUUUCUGGUUAAGCUCCUGUACUGAUCUCUCUCUUUUAUUAUUAUUAUUAUUAUUUUUUAUUUUUUUCUUCUGUAAAUUAAUGCUUGUUAGUGAUUGCUACUUGGGUCACUAUCAUCUUCUGCUCUCUCAUCCCAAGUGUAUUACAAGAACGAGAAACUAUUUAUGGUUGAACUGUACUAACUCUGUCUUCCUUUACUGCACUUACCUGAAGUGCUUUAAAAGGACUCAAUGAAGGACAGGGAAGUAUUUUCAAAUUAUAGCUGUGAGUGAUGACCAGAGAAUAAGAAACCUCCGACCUGAAAUUAGAGGAGCUGUUGACACUGGCUACAAUUCUGAAUAGUAGUUCAAAGCCAAAGAAGAAACAAUAAUAUUACGUCAUUCACUGGGAAAAAAAAAAAUAAAAAAAUCCACUGUUAGAUUUUUAGCAAAUAAACAAGUAUAUAUGAUUACAGAGAGGAAAAAAAAAGAUUUUUAGAACUGUGUCUAAGUUUGAAUAAAAUGCUUGUAUGUGUUUACAAAAUUAUUUUAAAGGAUGAUUGUUGAUCUGCUGAAGCCUUCUUGAUUCUACAUUUUUCUCAGUUUGAAUUAUAAAAACUGUAAUUGUAUAUUCUGAACCUAGAAGAGAAAAUCUAGAAGGAGAUUCUGAUUUUUUCUAACCAUCUGUUGAAAAAUAUCAUGAGCACUUGUUUAUCUGCACUUCUGUAAGUUCUCAACAUUGAUUGUAUUUUAUUUUCUGUAUCUAAUUACUCUUCAGAAUGAUAUGUUUAUACUACUGGAAAUGGAUCUGAUCAGAACUGAAUAAUGCAGAUAUUUUUAUAAGAACAUCUUUUGAAAGGAAAAAAGUGUCAUAAUAUAUUUAAAAACCCACCACCUUUCAAGAAAUAAUGAUAGCAUCUUUUGUGAGCUGGAAGUUCAAUAUGAAUAUUCAUUAAAAAUAAUGAUGAUAUCCUGACUGUCUUGUGGGAAUAUUACUGUAGCAUCAGAAAUUCCUCCUGAAUUCUUCAACUGAGUUUAUGCUGCCAUAUUUAUUCUACAAUUCUGGAAAUCUUGUGAAGGCAAGAUGCAGGUGAGAUUUCCAGUAUAUGCAGAACUGCAUCCCAGCCUUAUAUAUGGUAAGUGCAACAUUUGCUAUGUUGAAUUAUUAUUGUUGUUAUAAUUACUGUUGUUGUAGUUGUUGUCAUCAUUGUUACUGCUAUUAGGUUGCUUGUGUUAGCAAAGACAUAAAGUGAAACAGGUAAGUAUGACAGGGAUCUCCUGGAAGGAGUCCAGUGGAGGGCCAUAAAGGUGAUAAAAGGCUUGAAGCACCUUCCUUAUGAGGAAAGGUUGAGCGACCUAGGGCUGUUCAGCCUUGAGAAAAAAAGACUCAGAGGGGAUCUGGUCAGUGCCUAUAAAUAUGUAAGGUGAGGAAAGCAAACAGACAAGGCUAGGCUCUUUUCAACAGUGCUUGGUGAUAAAACAAGGGGAGAUGGCCACAAACUGAAGCACAGGAUGUUCCACACACAUGUGCAUAAGAACUUCUUGACAGUAAGGGUAAUGGAGCACUGGAACAGGCUGCCCAGAGAGUCUGUGGAGUCUCCUUCUCUGUAAAUGUCAAGACACACCUUGAUGCCUAGCUGUGCAACCUGGUCAAGGGAGCAUGCUUUGGUAGGGAAGUUGGACUAGAUGAUCUCUAGAGGUUCCUUCCAGACCCUACAGUUCUGUGACUCUGUGAAAUAUGUGAGUUGAGUUACGAUAACAGAAAGAGUUAGUGUUAGUUUUCUUAAGAUCAAAUACAAAAAUAAAGGGAGGUUGAGAACAUCAUUUUCCUAAUAUUAAUUUUCUCUGUUUAAAGGAAUGGUGAAUGUGUAUGCAAAUGUUCUUAUACUGAGUCUUCACUGAAAAUUUGAGCUACUUAAUACAAGUGCUGAAUUUGGUUUCUUCUUCACAGAAACUUUCCAUAUACUGACAUACAAGAAUGCAUUACUCAGUGUAACAGGUCCCUCUGUAAUGCCUUUCCUCCCUCUGGCAGAACAACACUCCCUACCAACUUGGUGUUAUCGGCAAACUUACUGAGGGUGCACUCAUCCCCUCAUCAAGAUCAUUAAUAAGGAUGCUAAAUAGAAGCGGCCCUAGAACAGAGCCCUGGGGGACAAUGCUCGUGACUGGCCUCCAACUGGAUUUAACUCCACUGACCACAGCUCUUUGAGUUCGGGCAUCCAGCCAGUGUUUCAUCCAGCAGAGCGAAUGCCCAUCCAAACCAUGGGCAGCCAGCUUCUCCACGAGGAUGCUGUGGGGGGCAGUGUCAAAGACUUUACUGAAGACCACAUCAACAGCCUUACUUUCAUCCACUAAGCAGGUCACCCUGUCAUAGAACAAAAUCAGGUUUGUCAGACAGGAUCUUCCAUUCACAGACCCAUACUGUCUGGGCCUGAUCCCAUGGCUGACCUUUCAUUGAUCCAUGGUGGCUCCCAAGAUUAUCCGUUUCACGACCUUCCAUGGCACCAAGGUGAGACUGAUAGGUCUGUAGCUACCAGAAUCAUCUUUCUGGCCCUUUCUGAAGAUGGUCUUCAUAUCUGCCAGUCUCCAGUCCACCCAGACAUUCCCAGUUAGCCAGGACGGUUGAAGGAUGAUGGACUGUGGUUUGGCAACCACAUCCACCAACUCCCUUAACACUCCAGGAUGCAAUCCAUCUGGCACCAAGGAGUUGAGAGUGUCCACGUUUCAGAGCAGUGUCCAGCUUUUUCCUUUUCCUUUUUCCUUUUCCUUUUCCUUUUCCUUUUCCUUUUCCUUGGAAAGAUUGUU